AUACGUAGGGGGCGAGCGUUGUCCGGAAUUACUGGGCGUAAAGGGUGCGUAGGCGGAAUGUCAAGUCAGAUGUGAAAUACCCGGGCUUAACCCGGGGGCUGCAUUUGAAACUGACAUCCUUGAGUGCAGGAGAGGCAAGUGGAAUUCCUAGUGUAGCGGUGAAAUGCGCAGAUAUUAGGAGGAACACCGGUGGCGAAGGCGACUUGCUGGACUGUAACUGACGCUGAGGCACGAAAGCGUGGGGAGCAAACAGGAUUAGAUACCCUGGUAGUCCACGCCGUAAACGAUGGAUACUAGGUGUGGGGUCCGAUAGGAUUCCGUGCCGCAGCAAACGCAAUAAGUAUCCCGCCUGGGGAGUACGAUCGCAAGGUUGAAACUCAAAGGAAUUGACGGGG
rnacentral:rRNA from 1 species